rnacentral:rRNA from 1 species
GACGAACGCUGGCGGCGUGCUUAACACAUGCAAGUCGAACGGAAAGGCCCUGCUUUUGUGGGGUGCUCGAGUGGCGAACGGGUGAGUAACACGUGAGUAACCUGCCCUUGACUUUGGGAUAACUUCAGGAAGCUGGGGCUAAUACCGGAUAGGAGCUCCUGCUGCAUGGUGGGGGUUGGAAAGUUUCGGCGGUUGGGGAUGGACUCGCGGCUUAUCAGCUUGUUGGUGGGGUAGUGGCUUACCAAGGCUUUGACGGGUAGCCGGCCUGAGAGGGUGACCGGCCACAUUGGGACUGAGAUACGGCCCAGACUCCUACGGGAGGCAGCGGUGGGGAAUAUUGCACAAUGGGCGGAAGCCUGAUGCAGCAACGCCGCGUGCGGGAUGACGGCCUUCGGGUUGAAAACCGCUUUCGCCUGUGACGAAGCGUGAGUGACGGUAAUGGGUAAAGAAGCACCGGCUAACUACGU